CUAUGUCCUGUUCCUCAUUACACAGAGAUAAGAAGUGAUACUUAAAUAGACCUUUUAUGAUCCCGGUCAUAAACUGCUAAUAUGUGGACGUGUAGCUAUCAGGAUGAACAUCCGCUUCCACACUCGGAGGAGUAGUGUUUCCAUGGGGAUGUAAUCAUGAUGGGGUGUCUGAUGUUUAGGUGGUUAUAAAAGCAGGAGUGUUACUCACAGCUGGUCUUGCUGAAACAGAAGAGAGACACACAGGUCUGUCCUGAUCAUCCUCUCAGAUAGUUUGCAGUCGAAACAUAACACAUCUGAGUCAGUUUUCCUAGCAGCAAUACUGAACACCACCACCAUGUCUGUGAUGUUGAACCUUCUCUCUCUGUGCCUGCUUGGAACAGUAAUUCUCUGUGGAGCUAUCACAAUUUCACAACCCUCCCAGCCUACCACCAAUCCCACCAGCACUACUGAAGAGAUCUCCACUCUAACCAAUCCCACCAGCACUACUGAAGAGAUCUCCACUCUAACCAAUCCCACCAGCACUACUGAAGAGAUCUCCACUCUAACCAAUCCCACCAGCACUACUGAAGAGAUCUCCACUCUAACCAAUCCCACCAGCACUACUGAAGAGAUCUCCACUCUAACCAAUCCCACCAGUUCUAGUGAAGAGAAUUCACCAACAACCAAUAUCAGCAGCGAGCAGAAAAGUGAAGGUUUUUCGCCAGGUGAAAUUGCUGGAAUAGCCAUAGGAACGAUAGCAGGGGUGGCAGCUGUGGGUGGGGCAUUGUUUGCUGGUCUGACGUUCACUGGGAAGUUGGGGUGAUGGUGAGAACCGACUGAAGCCAGCGGUGUCCACUGCCCUACAACCUGCCACUGGCUUCACCUGUUGUCCCUUUAAGGCCUCAAACUGGCAGACUUUGCGAACUAUUAUCAGAAAAACAUGUAAACAUUUGUAGUGUGUGUAGGAAGUUUGGGGGUCAGAUGGCUGAGCGGUUAGGGUUUCAGGCUAUUAAUCAGAUGGUUGCCGGUUUGAUUCCCAGCCGUGCCAAAUGACGUUGUGUCCUUGGGCAAGACACUUCACCCUACUUGCCUCGGGGGGAAUGUCCCUGUACUUACUGUAAGUCGCUCUGGAUAAGAGUGUCUGCUAGAUGACUAAAUGUAAUGUAAAUUUAAGUUUAGCUUCUCAUGUGAUUGCACAUGCAGUCUCUAAUCUGCUGCGUCAGUCAUAUGGGCUCGACCCGAGGGGCAGAUGAAAUGAACUGUAGGAUCUGGAAAUAGAAGCGGAAUAAGACCAUUAGUUCCAGAUUCGUGGGAAAGAAAUACAAAACGCCUUUUGAGCCUGUUUGGGCGUAUAUUCUGUCGAGAGUUUAAAGUCACGAGCAAGCCAUCUCAUUCUGCUGUGUUUUUGAGACCAUCUCUGCCUUCGAACGAAUCUGUCGAUAGGGAGUUCCUGGUUUGCCAGUAAAAGGUGACUACUUUGGAGGAUAGCAGCAGUUAUAAAUAGUUUAAAUUCUGGCCAACCACAUCAUGGACGCUGAUUUCCAAGUGACCAAUCAGAGACAGAACAUUCUAUGAUCUCACGGAAACUUAAAACUAUGUCACCAAAUGGUAAAUAAAAAAUAUUUAAUUAUUCAA